GCCAUCACGGCGGGCUAAACAGAAAAGGCCGAACCUCCCAAGCUAAAGGGAAAGUCAGCCCCGCUGAGGAGGUGGGCGGAGCAGCUCAGCCACGGAGGCUGCCACACCAGGGUGGGGGGUGAGGGAUCAAGGCGAGGCUGACAGGUGACAGGGUGAGUGGAAAAUCCUAAGAGCAAAGCUUCUCAGGUACCAGCAGCCCGAGCAACACAGGUGCGACAUGAAGACAUCAUCUGUGGCAGGCUGUCGCUAUCUAUCUAAACCGUCUUAUCAUCUUAUAGAAGAUCACGGAUGGUAAAAAUGAAGUUGCCUUUUAAGUGGGAAGAAUGGAACUUCUCUCCGCUUCCAUCACAAACUAAAGUUAAGACCACAGAAACAAAAACAAAACAAAAGAAAACCCACGGAGUUUUAUGGAAACAUAAACACACCUUUAGGAAAUCCUCCUGCCUCUACUGGCUUGCACAGUCAGUGUUGCACAACGGGAAAUGAAGUCGAAUCCAAUGUUAAAAAAUGCUGUUCUGAAAGAUGUGUUGGUGAGAGAUGGUGUUUUGCUAUGUUGUCCAGGCUGGUCUUGAACUGCUGGGAUUACAAGCAUAGUGACUGCACCAAACCUUCAGUGAUCUUUUAAACGAUUAUCACUGCUAACCUGUUCUUUCCAAAAUACAGACUUUCCCGCAACAAGAACACCUUUCUGGCUGUACUCCGUGAGAGCCAGUCUCAUCUGGAGAUGCUUUUUGCUAAGUUUCCGGUCUGUGAGGAGCAAGGGAGGACUUGAUGGUGAUAAAGGCACCAGGUCACAUGCCAGGACCUGCCGCGAGGAGGAGGCUGUUGUUAGCCUGUUCUGUUCCAGGUGAGUGUGGGCAGUGGGUCAGGAUCCCUAGUGUGUGCUCAAAUAUGGGGGACAAGGGGUUAGGUCCAUGAAUGAACCUUCCCAGGGGUCUUACUCUCGACUCACAGGGUGGGCAGAGGCCAACAGGAAGUUGGUAACUCCUGAACGUCUCUCAGGGACAAAAUGGGCCCAAAAAAGAAACACACAGAGAGAAUCUUCAAGACAAUGUGUGACACCUUCAGGCUGAUUUAACUCGUGUAUCAGAAAGGGGAAGGAAUUUGAAAGGAAAGUUUGAAAAGGCAUUUUCCUGGUGCUGUGGAAGUAAUCGCGUAUAACUGAGUAACAGUGAGUGUUUUAAUACUGCCACUUUCGAAUGACCCUUCUAAGCAUGUAACUUCGGAAUGAAGGAAUGAUCACUUUAGGUCUUUUUUACACUUAGGUCCACUUUUACAGUCUCCCAGUGGGUGUAAAAGUAAGGUUAGAACAUGUUCUGUAUGUCUUCGAAGCUCGUAAUACUCGUUACACAGCCAGCAGAGCAGAGAGGGAGACAGAGUUUGCCAUCUUAGGAAUCACUGAAGCAUUAGAAAGUUUUCCUAGUGUAUCAGUUAAAAUCUUCUCAGAGAACUAUGGGUUCUUUUAAAAAUUAGUUUCUGGUCACUGUCAUAAAAGAUGGAGAGACUACUACAAUUUCUCGUAAUUUAGGAGGCCUCAUGUUAGUUUGAUGUUUCACGUGCAAAGCCAUACAUCUUAUAUUUUGGUACAGUUGUCCAUUUUGUGGGUCAAGGUUAGUCUCGAAUUUAGAAGAUAAGAAUAAUACUUACGGUUCCCCCCCACCUUGAAUAUUUUCAUGAGUAAACACAGGACGCUGUGGCUGAAAUGAAAUGAUUUUCAAUGUAAUCAAUGUUUAAACUGGUACUAAUUAAAAGAUAAUUUGGAUAA